rnacentral:tRNA from 1 species
AUUUGGGUAGCUUAAUUAAAAGUUUAACAUUGAAAAUGUUAAGAUAAUUUUAUUUCCAGAUA